rnacentral:rRNA from 1 species
ACGAACGCUGGCGGCGUGCUUAACCCAUGCAAGUCGAACGGAAAGGCCCUGCUUUUGUGGGGUGCUCGAGUGGCGAACGGGUGAGUAACACGUGAGUAACCUGCCCUUGACUUUGGGAUAACUUCAGGAAACUGGGGCUAAUACCGGAUAGGAGCUCCUGCUGCAUGGUGGGGGUUGGAAAGUUUCGGCGGUUGGGGAUGGACUCGCGGCUUAUCAGCUUGUUGGUGGGGUAGUGGCUUACCAAGGCUUUGACGGGUAGCCGGCCUGAGAGGGUGACCGGCCACAUUGGGACUGAGAUACGGCCCAGACUCCUACGGGAGGCAGCAGUGGGGAAUAUUGCACAAUGGGCGGAGCCUGAUGCAGCAACGCCGCGUGCGGGAUGACGGCCUUCGGGUUGUAAACCGCUUUCGCCUGUGACGAAGCGUGAGUGACGGUAAUGGGUAAAGAAGCACCGGCUAACUACGUG